rnacentral:rRNA from 1 species
ACGGGUGAGUAACGCGUGGGAAUCUACCCAUCUCUACGGAAUAACGCAUGGAAACGUGUGCUAAUACCGUAUACGUCCUCCGGGAGAAAGAUUUAUCGGAGAUGGAUGAGCCCGCGUUGGAUUAGCUAGUUGGUGGGGUAAAGGCCUACCAAGGCGACGAUCCAUAGCUGGUCUGAGAGGAUGAUCAGCCACACUGGGACUGAGACACGGCCCAGACUCCUACGGGAGGCAGCAGUGGGGAAUAUUGGACAAUGGGCGCAAGCCUGAUCCAGCCAUGCCGCGUGAGUGAUGAAGGCCCUAGGGUUGUAAAGCUCUUUCACCGGUGAAGAUAAUGACGGUAACCGGAGAAGAAGCCCCGGCUAACUUCGUGCCAGCAGCCGCGGUAAUACGAAGGGGGCUAGCGUUGUUCGGAUUUACUGGGCGUAAAGCGCACGUAGGCGGACUAUUAAGUCAGGGGUGAAAUCCCGGGGCUCAACCCCGGAACUGCCUUUGAUACUGGUAGUCUUGAGUUCGAGAGAGGUGAGUGGAAUUCCGAGUGUAGAGGUGAAAUUCGUAGA